AACGCUAGCUACAGGCUUAACACAUGCAAGUCGAGGGGAAACGACAUCGAAAGCUUGCUUUUGAUGGGCGUCGACCGGCGCACGGGUGAGUAACGCGUAUCCAACCUGCCCACCACUUGGGGAUAACCUUGCGAAAGUAAGACUAAUACCCAAUGAUAUCUCUAGAAGGCAUCUGAAAGAGAUUAAAGAUUUAUCGGUGAUGGAUGGGGAUGCGUCUGAUUAGCUUGUUGGCGGGGUAACGGCCCACCAAGGCAACGAUCAGUAGGGGUUCUGAGAGGAAGGUCCCCCACAUUGGAACUGAGACACGGUCCAAACUCCUACGGGAGGCAGCAGUGAGGAAUAUUGGUCAAUGGACGAGAGUCUGAACCAGCCGAGUAGCGUGCAGGAAGACGGCCCUAUGGGUUGUAAACUGCUUUUAUAAGGGAAUAAAGUGAGUCUCGUGAGACUUUUUGCAUGUACCUUAUGAAUAAGGACCGGCUAAUUCCGUGCCAGCAGCCGCGGUAAUACGGAAGGUCCGGGCGUUAUCCGGAUUUAUUGGGUUUAAAGGGAGCGUAGGCCGGAGAUUAAGCGUGUUGUGAAAUGUAGACGCUCAACGUCUGCACUGCAGCGCGAACUGGUUUCCUUGAGUACGCACAAAGUGGGCGGAAUUCGUGGUGUAGCGGUGAAAUGCUUAGAUAUCACGAAGAACUCCGAUUG
rnacentral:rRNA from 1 species